rnacentral:rRNA from 1 species
UACGAAGGGGGCUAGCGUUGUCCGGAAUCAUUGGGCGUAAAGCGCGUGUAGGCGGUCCGGUAAGUCCGCUGUGAAAGUCGGGGGCUCAACCCUCGGAUGCCGGUGGAUACUGGCGGGCUUGAGUACGGAAGAGGCGAGUGGAAUUCCUGGUGUAGCGGUGAAAUGCGCAGAUAUCAGGAGGAACACCAAUUGCGAAGGCAGCUCGCUGGGACGUUACUGACGCUGAGACGCGAAAGCGUGGGGAGCAAACAGG